rnacentral:lncRNA from 1 species
AUCUAUUCUGAUACCCAUAGUACGUUUUUGACUCUAUAUGAAGAACCAUGAUACUUUCUCUAUUAUCAUAAGAGGACUUCUUUGACAGUGCCUACAUAGUGAUGGGAUGUUGAUAUAAGUUGUUUGACUCUUCUGUUUAGUUAACAGUAUGGGUAGUACUCUUUCCUACCCCGGAAUUUUGUUUUGUCUGAGAAUGUUUUAACAAGGCCGCCUUUAACAAGCUAGUUCUUCCCAUGUAAUGUUACUUUCGGUUUAAUAAAAUACAAUAUUUUCUAUUUAUUUAUUUAUUUUUUUAAAAAAGCAUUGUUUACUAAUGAGUGCUGCUAUUUUCACCCAUUUGUCUUAUUUUCCCACCCACCUUAUCUUCAAAAUUUUAAAGACAAAUUUACCCAUUUAUAAAAUGACUUCUAAGGACUUAGGGACAAAACCAAUCUCCCUCACCUAAGUGUGAGCAACCAUUUUAUACCAGCCAUUGAAUUAAUCUCACAAUACAUAGAGCCUUUUAUUAACUUAAAUUCUUGACCCGCACAUUGCACACAACUUCUUCUUCCUCAUCUAGCAAUUCUCUUUGUUUUCUAAAAGCUUCCCAAAGUUUUACUAUUUUUCCAUCAUAAAUCUGAUUUCUCUCAAAGGUACUAUCAUUUUCUCUGCGAAAUAAAUGUGGGC